GACGAACGCUGGCGGCGUGCUUAACACAUGCAAGUCGAGCGAUGAAACACCUUCGGGUGCGGAUUAGCGGCGAACGGGUGAGGAACACGUGAGGAAUCUGCCCUCCACUCUGGGAUAACUCCGGGAAACCGGGGCUAAUACCGGAUACUUUCAACUGGCGGCAUCGCCGGUUGAAGAAAGUUUUUCGGUGGAGGAUGACCUCGCGGCCUAUCAGCUUGUUGGGGAGGUAAAGGCUCACCAAGGCGACGACGGGUAGCCGGCCUGAGAGGGCGCCCGGCCACACUGGGACUGAGACACGGCCGAGACUCCUACGGGAGGAAGGAGUGGGGAAUAUUGCCCCAUGGGGGAAGCCCUGAUGCAGCAAGGCCGCGUGAGUGAUGACGGCCUUCGGGUUGUAAAGCUCUGUCUUCGGGGACGAUAAUGACGGUACCCGAGGAGGAAGCCACGGCUAACUACGUGCCAGCAGCCGCCGUAA
rnacentral:rRNA from 1 species